rnacentral:rRNA from 1 species
UAGGGAAUUUUUCACAAUGGGGGCAACCCUGAUGAAGCAAUGCCGCGUGGACGAUGACAGCCUUCGGGUUGUAAAGUCCUUUUAUAAGGGAAGAAUAGUAAACUAAGGAAAUGUAGAUUACAUGACGGUACUUUAUGAAUAAGUAACGGCUAACUAUGUGCCAGCAGCCGCGGUAAUACAUAGGUUGCAAGCGUUAUCCGGAUUUACUGGGCGUAAAGCAAGCGCAGACGGAUUAACAAGUCUGGUGUUAAAGGCGAUAGCUUAACUAUCGUAUGCAUGGGAAACUGUUAAUCUCGAGUAUAGUAGAGUGUUUUGGAACUCCAUGUGGAGCGGUGGAAUGCGUAGAUAUAUGGAAGAACACCUGUGGUGAAGACGAAAACAUGGACUAUAACUGACGUUUAGGCUUGAAAGUGUGGGGAGCAAAUA